UGCGUUCCGAGUGAGCGCAGUGUAGACACAAAGGUCUUCGACACAUGUGCAUUACAGGCUGCAAGGCAAGACGGAAAUAUGUCUGCGCAGAAACGCAGCGCCGGCGAUUUCGCAGCAACUAGCAAGUUGCUCCUGGCGGCCCUCUUGCUUCUGUGGAUACUCUGGAUAAUGUUCGGCUACCGGAGCAACCUGGUGCGGCGGGCUGAACGUGAACACAUUGAAAUUGUGCACCCUCAUGCACGGACGCCGCCACCGCAAAUCGGUCCGGAGAGUCAAGUGACCAAAAUGACCACUGUGAAAGAAAGUACCGAUGCGUCCGUGUCAAAGAAACGCACAAGGUCAUCCAAGUUUCGUGAUAUUUGUUGGAAGCCGCAGUGCAUAGCUAUUGCGGAUAUAAUCAGUGACGGCUUGGGAAAGUCAACACCUUGCGAUAACUUCUUCGACUUUGUAUGCGAAAAACGAGCAGAGAACACGGAAUUGCCGCCAUCAAAGGUUAAGGACUCUGCAAUUGAAUCCCUAUUGCGAAUUCUGAAGAGCCCUAAUGCCAAAGGAAGCACAAAAUCCACUGCGGUGGGGAAAUUUACUAGCGCCUACAUGUCAUGCAUAAAUGAAGGAAACGACAGCCUGAGGCUCCAUGAAUCUAUGCAGAGAAUAUUUCGUCAGCUGGGUUUUCAUGACUGGUAUUCAUCAAGCAAAGAGCCUACUAAUGGAACUGACGAGACCAUCGGCAAUAUUUUAAGCGAAAUCGGCUUGCGCCCUUUUUUCGACUACAGCGUUCAACUGGAACCAAGGAAGCCCAGCAGCAAAUGGACAAUCAUAAUUACGAAGCGGACUGACUUCUUUCUUCUGUCUUGCGCAUCCGAAAAAUUCAGGUCACUGUCGUCACGAGAAAAGUUCAGUGAAUCCAAGCAAUCACAAGAGAGUGCUGAAAACAUAUCCACAAAGCAAUACAGCCGCUGUAAAAAAAUAGUUGCUGAAAUACUUAGACUUACGAGCGCCAAUGUGACGAAGAACCAAAGUAUGAUAAUUGCGGAAGACAUUCUGACUUUUGAACGGGCGUUUUCAAAGCUCUCUAAGCAGGCGGUUGGGAAACCAAUCGAAAUAAACAUGACAUCCGAGAAUGGGACAGCCGCUUCAACUCACGAUAGCCAUCAAGAACUACAUCGCAUGGAGUUACAUAAGAUCAAUGGCUAACGUGGAAGGAACUUCUCUUCACGACCUGUAUAUGACCUACAGUUUCAACACGACAAACCUCACACGUUCAUCUGCAAGGAAGAACGUGAGGAAAAUCUUGCCUCUUGCGACUACUGAAGCCAGAAACGAUGCUCACUGCAGGAACCAGCCUUUAUAUCAAGUAUAACUUCGACAAAUACGACCGCAAGAACGUGCACAAGAUGUUGCAAUUCAUCAAAGCGUCCUUCAAAGUGAUCAUCCUAGAAAACAAGUGGAUGACGGACUUGACUAAGAACAAAGCUGCUGAACGAGUGAGAUUGUUCUGUUUGAAGCGCAGUUAGCUAACAGGUGCUACCGUGUAAGCACAUUCAAUCCAUGUUAAUAGUAGCUCGAAAUGAUUACAGUUGGCGAGAAUGGAAACAGUGGUUGGCUAUCCUGACUGGAUGAUGGAUGACACUGUAGUGGACAAUCUGUAUAGAUACAUUCCCCUCCUGAAGGAAACUACAUCGUUCACUGAGCACAUAUUUUGGAUACAAGAAAACAGUCGCUACCAGGAGCUUGUAAAACUGA
rnacentral:misc_RNA from 1 species